rnacentral:rRNA from 1 species
GACGAACGCUGGCGGCGUGCUUAACACAUGCAAGUCGAACGGAAAGGCCCUUCGGGGUACUCGAGUGGCGAACGGGUGAGUAACACGUGGGUGAUCUGCCCUGCACUCUGGGAUAAGCCUGGGAAACUGGGUCUAAUACCGGAUAGGACCAUGGCCUGCAUGGGCUGUGGUGGAAAGCUUUUGCGGUGUGGGAUGGGCCCGCGGCCUAUCAGCUUGUUGGUGGGGUGAUGGCCUACCAAGGCGACGACGGGUAGCCGGCCUGAGAGGGUGUCUGGCCACACUGGGACUGAGAUACGGCCCAGACUCCUACGGGAGGCAGCAGUGGGGAAUAUUGCACAAUGGGCGCAAGCCUGAUGCAGCGAUGCCGCGUGGGGGAUGACGGCCUUCGGGUUGUAAACCUCUUUCAGUAUCGGCGAAGCUCCAGGGUUUUCUUUGGGGUGACGGUAGGUACAGAAGAAGCACCGGCCAACUACGUGCCAGCCGCCGCCGUAACAC